rnacentral:rRNA from 1 species
UACAGAGGGUGCAAGCGUUGUUCGGAAUUACUGGGCGUAAAGGGCGCGUAGGCGGCCUGCUAAGUCGAACGUGAAAUCCCCGAGCUUAACUUGGGAAUUGCGCUCGAAACUACGUGGCUCGAGUGUGGCAGAGGAAGGUGGAAUUCCACGUGUAGCGGUGAAAUGCGUAGAGAUGUGGAGGAACACCGAUGGCGAAGGCAGCCUUCUGGGCCAACACUGACGCUCAUGCACGAAAGCGUGGGGAGCAAACAGG